UUAUUCCGUUCGCAUGAUUUUUAUUUCAAUAUACAUGUAUUAUAUCUCAUGUUUCAUACAGUACAAUAUGUUCAAAACCAAUUGUAUGGCACACCCAUGUUUGUUGGUACAUUUUUCCGUUGUUGGUAUUGCUGUGUGCGGAUACGGUACAGUGAGGUGACACAUCAGCUUAUGUUGGAUAGAUACGCUAUAGGUGGGUUGACCUCUGUAUGACGUUGAAGUUGCAACAGUAAAAAACAUGCACUGGGUAAACAUACCACUUAAGUCAAAUAUCUAUUCACACACGAUUUUGUUUGGUUGGUUUCUGUUUCUUUUUAUAGGUCCUUGAAUAUGCUACACAACAAGUGGCUAGUCCUUGAAAGCUAGAGGACAUGCGCGAUUUUUUGGUUCUGACCCAACGCUAAUAUUAGCAGCUAGAUAACUCUCUCUAGUGGCGUAUUUGGGUACGGGAUUGUGUGAUUAGCAAGCCGACCUUCAACAUUGCAUACUGCACUGGCCUCCCUGUUCCGUUAGUAUCCAUUUUUAAGUAAAUGAAUAAAUAAAUAAAUAAUUGAAAGAACGAAACAAAUCUAGAUAGAUUUUAGCCACCUCAAUAUAAUUCAACAUAGUCAAAAUAUAUAUAUAUAUUUCAAAAAUAUUAGUUUGUUUUAUCCCCUAUGAAUAAAUAAAUAAAAUGUCUCGUGCCAUCUCUCCAUCCAUAAUGUUCAACUCACCAAUUCCAUUAGUUUAUAAAUCCCCUUUGCUGUUGCGUUUGGCUCUUAAACAAUGAAAAGCACAUCCAGCAGCCUUCUAGAAGGUUCUAAAAGUCUGAUUGCUAUUAACUAUUACUAUAUGUACGCCAGUGAAUAAUAACCCUAAAAGGUCUUUGGAUAUUCACAAUAUGUACAAAACACUGCCUUACUGUAGUGGAGACACAGAGACCUUUGAUCAAAGUGACUGUGUUUGCUGUCUGAGACUACAGAGCCCAUUUGAAGUACACAAACACAACAACAGGGACAGACUUCAAAGUAAGUGCCAUAGUCUCUCUCUGUUGGGUGCUAAUUCCUGCCAUCUGAAAAAACUAAAGAAGUCAUAUGAAAAUCAGUCAGCCAUAAUCAUUUAAAAAAAGACAACUGCCUAAAAUAUUUAUUUAAAAAAAUAGGUUUCACAUGAAUAAUAAAAAUAAAACCCUAUGUGUAAACAUCGUGUGUGUGUGUGUGUGUGUGUGCAGAUAUGCAUGGUUGUAAAGGCCGGAGUGUGCAAAAAAAGUAAAGACCUCAAGACAUACGAGUGAUCGACAUGAAAUAACACUGCUCUCUCUCUCUCUCUCUUCUCUUCCAUUCUCACUCUCCCCUAUAGCCAGGGCCAAACGACACAACUUUAAAAACCCUGAUUUAACGCCCGUCCACCUUAAAUGUUCUGAUGUGCAUUACCUAUAGACACCGGUUGCUUGGCGUGUGUGUAAAGUCUGACACAUGUCCACAGAGUAGUCAGUCAAUAGAUGUGUGCUGGUCACUCUUUUCAUGGUCACUCGGGACUGAGGAAACCACG
ensembl:lncRNA